rnacentral:rRNA from 1 species
UACGGGAGGCAGCAGUGGGGAAUAUUGCACAAUGGGCGCAAGCCUGAUGCAGCCAUGCCGCGUGUAUGAAGAAGGCCUUCGGGUUGUAAAGUACUUUCAGUCGUGAGGAAGGUGUUAAGGUUAAUAACCUUAGCAAUUGACGUUAGCGACAGAAGAAGCACCGGCUAACUCCGUGCCAGCAGCCGCGGUAAUACGGAGGGUGCGAGCGUUAAUCGGAAUUACUGGGCGUAAAGGGCACGCAGGCGGUUAAUUAAGUUGGAUGUGAAAUCCCCGGGCUUAACCUGGGAAUGGCAUUCAAGACUGGUUAGCUAGAGUCUUGUAGAGGGGGUAGAAUUCCAUGUGUAGCGGUGAAAUGCGUAGAGAUGUGGAGGAAUACCGGUGCGAAGGCGGCCCCUGGGACAAAGACUGACGCUCAUGUGCGAAAGCGUGGGGAGCAAACAGGGAUUAGAUACC